CGCUGGCGGAGGCGCACGGGGCCCAGCGGCGCUGCAGGGGCUUUUGUCCCGGAGGUGCCCGUUGGGCUCCCGAGCCAUCUGCAGACACCUCUCCGCCGCCCCAGGCGGCUUCUAACUGGCUCUCUGGUCACUUGCCCGCUUGACCUUUGGGGAAUUGGAAGAAAACCUGGGACAGUGGCUGGCAAGGCGGCUCUUGGAGCGCAUUCCAGAGGGUCCGAGGGUCCCGUGUGCCCAGUUCCCUGCACGCCCGGGGGCUCCAUCGGCCUGCAGCACAAGACUUCACUGACUCCUGCUUGACCACCAGCCGGUAGCCAAAUGGGAGACCCGGACAGAAACCCUCAGGGCCAUUUCCGAGAAGGACACCCGCGCGGCCCGGGUGGGCGCCCCGUCUUUGUGCCCCUGGCACCAGUCUAAAAAGACCAAACUUCAGGACCGUGGUUUCUGGGUUGCCGGGAAGACUCUAGGAGGCGGAGCUCUGAAUAAGGGCCCUCUAGGAGGAAAGGAAAGGAUGGUGGAGGUCCCAGGGAGAAGAGGAGAGCAGGUGGAAGGGGGAGGAGGAGGCCUCCGUCAGGUCCAGCCCUGGCCGAGCCCCUCAUGCACGCGGGGUGCACACGCGGGAGGGGAACUGGCAGCUUCUCCUGAGUGCCCGCUGCCCGCAUUGAUGCCCUGGCCUGCCUCAGGGCCCUCCGCCUGACCCUCUCCUCUCCUGAUGUCUCUGGACUCCCCUUGCUCAGAGCACCUGUCCUUGUAGAUUCCCCAGGUGGACCCGGAUGGAGGAGGAGUGCCCUUCCACCCUGGUCUCUCCACAAAUUCCCCGUCCCACUUCCUGCUAGGCCCCAGUUUCCCCAUCUGCCCAGGAGGCUCCCAUAAUUUCUAAAUCCCUUUCCUGCUCUGACUUUUGAGAUAGUCAAACUGUCAGGGUUCUCAACCUUCCCUGACUUAGUCACUGAAACCGCCUGGGGACUCUUAAAAUAUUAUAGCUGUUCGCUGUCCCGGGUAAUUGGUCUGUGGCAGGGCAGCCGCAGUAAUUUUUUAAAGCUCCCCAGAUGGUUCUAAUGUGCAGCCAGGGUGAGGAACCUCUGGCAUCUGAUUCCUGCUAAGAGCUAUUUGCAUUCCCCCAGGAGACUGGGAUACCGACAGUCCCAGCUCAGCUUGUCUCUGAUGGUGGAGGAAGAGGCAGGGCCGAGGGCAAGGGCAGUCCGCCCAGAAGCUCCUGUGCCCAUGAGCCAGCCGUCCCCAGCCCUGGGGGAUAAUAAUCAGCCUGGAGCCGUGACAGGGGCUGUUUCCUCUCCAUGCUGCCCCUGAGCCCCUGCCUCUCCCUGCUCCCUGCCUGGCUGUCCCUCCACGCCCUGGCCCCUAUCCAGUGCCACCUGUGCUAAUGGCUUGGUGGAGGCAGUGGCCACCUGGGAUGGCCUUCCAGAUUCGGUCUCUCUCCCGGGCUUCUGUGUUUUCCUAAGAUUCCUACUUCCUCCUCCAAGGCAAGGUCCCUCUCUUCCUCUCUCAGGCCACAGCCUGAGUUGGCCACCAGAUCCCUCCUUCCUGUGGGCAGGAGGACCGAGUGGCCAAGUCCCAGGAGGGGACAUCCCCAAGAGUGGGCUUCCAUGGGCCACCUACAGAGCAUCCUCCUGUUUCCCGGGCCAGAGCCUGGCUCAGACCCUUCCUGGGAACUGUGAGAUUCUGCAGCUGUUAGAGGAGACAAGGGGAGGUGUGGGGGAAGAGCAGGCCCAGGACAGAGGGACCUGUUUCCUGUCCCAGCUUAGCCAUUAACCACCUGGUCGGGGACCUUGAACCCAGCACCUGUCUUUGGGUCUCAGUUUUGCUUUUCCCAUAAAAUGAGAGGCUCUCGAGUAUUCUUUUCAAUGCUGAUUGGCCGACUUCUGUGACUGUCUGAAGUCCAUCUGGGGACUUGGAUCUGGGGUCCAGAGAGGGCUAACUGACCUUCAGACAAAAGAUGGGAGCUGAAAUGGUGAUUCAUUCCCAGAUCAUCUGAGUACUGCUUACAUCCGAGACUGUGUUGUAGGUGCUGGGCAACCAAGUCCCUCCCUCCACAAGCUGACAGGGGGAGAUGCUGAGCCCUGGGUUUGGGGACCUUCAACCAUGUCCUCUACGUCCCAGCACAAGGAGGUGUUGGGGGAUCUCCAGUCGUGGGCUCUGAGGAGCCCAGAGAAUUGGCAGAGAAGGUGCCCAGUGGCAGGCUGGGUACAGGGAGGCAGAGGUGCAGGAAGGAGCUCCAAGCUGCCAAGAUUCAGAGAAAAGGGACAGCAGGGCCAGAAGCCAGCUCUGAACUAACCGAAGGCUUGAGGGUUAUAACAGGGAAAGGAGAGGAGAGGUCAGGUGAGCUGGGAGGGGUGAGGCGGGCAAAGGCACUGUGGCUCAGCCUGCAGAAUUGAUGGGCGAGCAUGACUUCUGUGGUUUGUUUCAUUAAACGCAUGUUUAUUUAUAAGUGAUGAUUAGAUCUUGCAUACCUACCCUACUUUUGCAGGCAAUUUAUUUAUACCUUUAUUUUAUUUAUUUAUUUUUAUGUGGUGCUGAGGAUCGAACCCAGCCCCUCACACAUGCUAGGCGAGGGCUUCACCGCUGAGCCACAACCCAGCCCUGCAGGCAAUUUUUAAGCAGCUUUAUCAGGUUUUAGUGGGCAUACAAUAAGUGCACGUUUCAACUGUACAAAAUUGAACGGAAUUCUGGUGACGUUCUAAGAAACCUUUGCCUGACCUCGGUCACAAACAUUUUCUCUUGUAGUUCUAGAAAUUUUAUAGUUUGGGUUUUACAUUUAAAUCUUGGCACAUCUUGAGUUAAUUGUUGAGUUUUAUUUGAGGUCCAAGCCUUGGUCCACUUCUCGCAUGGGGAUAUGAGAUUGUGCCUUUGCACAUGGUUGAAAUUCAGCUGACCACAUGUGUGAGGUCUGCUCUGGACUCCCCUGCUCCUCUUGUCCCUGGUCCGUCUUUGUCUGAACACUGCUGUCCUGAUGACUGACUUCACUUUAAGUCCUGAUGUCAGAUGGUGUUAACUUCCUCUCCAACGUUGCUUUGCAAAUUCUGGUCCUUUGUGUUUCUGUGAAGAUUUUAGAGUCACUUUGCCAGUUUCUGCAAAGGAGAAAAACCAGGCAUUUUCCUUGAGAUUGCCCUGAAUACACAGAUGAAUUUGGGACUAGCUAACAACAUUGUGUCUUCCCGGCUGGGAGGAUGGUAUGGCCUCCACUCCGGCCCUUCUCAUUUCUGUUCGCAGAGUCAAACAGUUUCCAGGCGAUGGUGAACACACUUUCAGAUUUAUUCCCAUUUCAUGAUUUUAGAUGCUAUUAUAACACACACACACACACACAUAGUACUGGGGAUUGAACCCAGGGACACUCGACCACUGAGCCACAUCCCCAGCCCUUUUUAU
rnacentral:lncRNA from 1 species